rnacentral:rRNA from 1 species
GGAACAGGACGUCAUAGAGGAGUGAGAAUCCCGUAUGCGACCGGUCGCCCUCUGCCCAUGUGAAUGCUGUCUUCGACGAGUCGAGUUGUUUGGGAAUGCAGCCUCAAAAUGGGUGGUAAAUUUCAUCUAAAGCUAAAUAUCUGGCCAGAGACCGAUAGCGCACAAAGUAGAGUGAUCGAAAGAUGAAAAGCACUUUGGAAAGAGAGUUAAACAGUACGUGAAAUUGUUGAAAGGGAAGCGCUUGCAACCAGACUUGCACGUAGCCGAUCAUCCGGUGUUCUCACCGGUGCACUCGGUUGCGUUCAGGCCAGCAUCGGUUUCGGUGGUUGGAUAAAGGCCCUGGGAAUGUAGCUCCUCUCGGGGAGUGUUAUAGCCCAGGGUGCAAUGCAGCCUACCGGGACCGAGGACCGCGCUUCGGCUAGGAUGCUGGCGUAAUGGUUGUAAGCGACCCGUCUUGAAACACGGACCAAGGAGUCUAACAUCUAUGCGAGUGUUUGGGUGUCAAACCCAUACGCGUAAUGAAAGUGAACGGAGGUGAGAACCCUUAAGGGUGCAUCAUCGACCGAUCCUGAUGUCUUCGGAUGGAUUUGAGUAAGAGCAUAGCUGUUGGGACCCGAAAGAUGGUGAACUAUGCCUGAAUAGGGUGAAGCCAGAGGAAACUCUGGUGGAGGCUCGCAGCGGUUCUGACGUGCAAAUCGAUCGUCAAAUUUGGGUAUAGGGGCGAAAGACUAAUCGAACCAUCAUCAAGCACUAGGUGGUUGAUUGAGAUUGA